rnacentral:rRNA from 1 species
UACGGGGGGAGCAAGCGUUGUUCGGAAUUACUGGGCGUAAAGGGUGCGUAGGCGGCGCGGUAAGUCGGGUGUGAAAUUUCGAGGCUUAACUUCGAAACUGCAUUCGAUACUGCCGUGCUAGAGGACUGGAGAGGAGACUGGAAUUUACGGUGUAGCGGUGAAAUGCGUAGAUAUCGUAAGGAAGACCAGUGGCGAAGGCGGGUCUCUGGACAGUUCCUGACGCUGAGGCACGAAGGCCAGGGGAGCAAACGGG